GAAUAUUGGACAAUGGGCGCAAGCCUGAUCCAGCAAUGCCGCGUGAGUGAUGAAGGCCUUCGGGUCGUAAAGCUCUUUUACCAGGGAUGAUAAUGACAGUACCUGGAGAAUAAGCUCCGGCUAACUCCGUUCCAGCAGCCGCGGUAAUACGGAGGGAGCUAGCGUUGUUCGGAAUUACUGGGCGUAAAGCGCGCGUAGGCGGCUUGCCAAGUCAGGGGUGAAAUCCCGGGGCUCAACCCCGGAACUGCCCUUGAAACUAGCAGGCUAGAAUCUUGGAGAGGUCAGUGGAAUUCCGAGUGUAGAGGUGAAAUUCGUAGAUAUUCGGAAGAACACCAGUGGCGAAGGCGACUGACUGGACAAGUAUUGACGCUGAGGUGCGAAAGCGUGGGGAGCAAACAGG
rnacentral:rRNA from 1 species